rnacentral:rRNA from 1 species
GUGCCAGCAGCCGCGGUAACACGUAGGAUCCGAGCGUUAUCCGAAUUUACUGGGCGUAAAGCGCGUGUAGGCGGUUCGGUAAGUUGGACGUGAAAUCUCCCGGCUCAACUGGGAGGGGUCGUUCAAAACUGCCGGGCUAGAGGGCGGUAGAGGGAGGUGGAAUUCCCGGUGUAGUGGUGAAAUGCGUAGAUAUCGGGAGGAACACCAGUGGCGAAAGCGGCCUCCUGGACCGCACCUGACGCUCAGACGCGAAAGCUAGGGGAGCGAACGGGAUUAGAUACCCCAGUAGUCC